UCCACGGCUAAGCGAAACGCGCCCUGAAUUUUGUAAUCCCGGGCUUUUUUGAUUGACCAUUAUGCCUCCAAUGGUGGCUGCAAUGGGGAAAGGGUUGUUGAAGAAAGCUAAGGGGUGUCUGCGUAAAUUCCGUAUUGGGAAUCAGGGCUUGUGGAUGGUUUCCAACUUCCCCAUCUCCGAUUCCAAUCUGAUCAAUUGUCUGCAGUUGCUGUAUAGCUGCAUUGAAAGCUGGAGUUAAGAAUGACACGUGUCUAAAUAUUCUCAAUCGUUCAAUGCUCAUCGUACUUUAUCACUCGCUGCAAAGGAUAUGGGUUCUAAUUUUUUUUGUGAUGCACUCAAGUUCUUGGCUGUUGAAUUGAUGAAUCAGAGUCGCUAGCAUACCCGCCGCUUUCUCAUGACUUGACUAAGCCUGAUUUGAUGAAUCGGAGUUGAGGGAGGUAUGUUUUGAAACUCAGGGUCGAUCUCAAUCAAUGUUGAUCCAUAUUGGUAUUGGAUUGUUCAGAUCAGAUUUGAUCCGAUGGAUUAGCCUUAUUUUUUUAAUCACUUUUUUGAA